rnacentral:lncRNA from 1 species
GCUUCGGUUGUGGUCAACACAGCGACUAAUUUAACGAAUUCUUUAUUUUCUUAGGGAUACGUGAGACGUUUUGGCAAGGUUGGAGGACUCAAAGAAGCGCAAGGCUGCUGCGCAGAAGGGGAUGCUCACCGAGCUACUGCCACGGUCACUUCAGCCAGGGCGACAGCCAAGGAACUUGUCAAAGCAGCAGUUUGAAAAGGUGUUUGAUAUGCUGAAAUACAGGUGUGGAAAUACUUUAGUCAUGGGCCAUAGGAUUAAAAACACACUGACCAAAUCAUCGGAAACUUCAAAUGAAGAGGACAUUUUGAGCCUAGAAAGACAGGCUUUUUUGUCUCUGUGAGAAAUGAUGUCUAAUUUGGUCCGAGCGGUUGGAUUGCUUGUCAGGUGCGUUAUUUUAACUAUGGACAGUGAAUGACAAAACAAUAGGGC